rnacentral:rRNA from 1 species
AACGAACGCUGGCGGCAUGCCUAACACAUGCAAGUCGAACGAGACCUUCGGGUCUAGUGGCGCACGGGUGCGUAACGCGUGGGAACCUGCCCUUAGGUUCGGAAUACCUCCCCGACAGGGGUGCUAAUACCGGAUAAUGUCUUCGGACCAAAGAUUUAUCGCCUUUGGAUGGGCCCGCGUUGGAUUAGCUAGUUGGUAGGGUAAAAGCCUACCAAGGCGACGAUCCAUAGCUGGUCUGAGAGGAUGAUCAGCCACACUGGGACUGAGACACGGCCCAGACUCCUACGGGAGGCAGCAGUGGGGAAUAUUGGACAAUGGGCGAAAGCCUGAUCCAGCAAUGCCGCGUGAGUGAUGAAGGCCUUAGGGUUGUAAAGCUCUUUUACCCGGGAUGAUAAUGACAGUACCGGGAGAAUAAGCUCCGGCUAACUCCGUG